ACCAUCCGUUUCUUGGGGCUAGGCUACUGCCCAGUGAGCACGUAGUGAGGGCAGAGCUGCUGGCACCGACACAAAAUUCCUGCAUCAGCUACAGCUUUGCUUUACCUUGGCACAGUUUCUGGAAAA
ensembl:snRNA